UGCUUGGCGACCAUAGCGUUGUGGACCCACCUGAACCCAUGCCGAACUCAGAAGUGAAACACAACAGCGCCGAUGGUAGUGUGGGGUCUCCCCAUGUGAGAGUAGGACAUCGCCAGGUUU
rnacentral:rRNA from 1 species